rnacentral:rRNA from 1 species
UACGUAGGAGGCAAGCGUUGUCCGGAAUUACUGGGCGUAAAGCGCGUGUAGGUGGUGGGACAAGUCUGCUGUGAAAGCGCCUGGCUUAACCGGGCGAGGUCGGCGGAAACUGUUCGACUCGAGGACGGUAGAGGGGGGUGGAAUUCCCGGUGUAGUGGUGAAAUGCGUAGAGAUCGGGAGGAACACCUGUGGCGAAGGCGGCCGGCUGGGGGUGACCUGACGCUGAGGCGCGAAAGCGUGGGGAGCGAACCGG